UCUGGUGGCAGCCCCUGCUUCCUCGGGCCUCCGGGGCGCAGCGUGGCGCAUGCGCAGAUCCCGUUGGAAACGGUCGUCAGGUGGGGCGCGCCUUCUCACGCAUGCGUAGUCGCAGGCGUCGGCUGUGGCCGCGGGGUGGACACGCAGGACCGCAGUUUACGUGCGUUGGUCACGUGUCGGCCACCGUCCUCUGAGGGCGGUUCGUCAUUAGUGAGUGCCUGGGCGCGGGCGGCCUGGAGCCUCGCGAAGGGCUGGGGAGGGAGUGGGCGGCCUCGGAACCACGGGACAGCCUCGUCCCCGUCGCACUCGCGCUCCGUGAGCUUUCUCGACUGCUGCACCUUCCAGCGACCUGACCGCCGGUUAACGGCGGGGAGCAGGAGGAUUACAGCAUCGACGAGAAGCCCCGGCAGGUCACUCUUCGCUUGUGAUUGGGGAAUUCGUUCAGAAAAGGAAGAUUUUUUACAGCAGUGAUUGUUCACUGUUUCUGGGAGCAGGAGCAUUCAUUCAGAAGUUUUGGUUUUCAUACUGCCAGGACACCAAAGCACUGAGUUCCUGUGAUUCUGACUGAAAGCAAAGCCCUGUGAUGUUUCCAGCAGGACCGUUUUGCGGUGCGUUUGACUCAUGGUUGCGGAUUUGGAGACGUUGCCCGGGUCAGCAGCUCCCCUUCCUCACGGAUUCUGGACAGGCUCUCUUCCAAUCCAGACACACGGCUUAAUGACAAGGAACCGUCAAAUGUGGAGUCGUUCAGUUUCCUGUCUUAGCUCUUUCCUCCUCGCCGGGACACAAUACUCGGCACAGAUUAUAAAGCAGGGGAGUUUUAUUUUGGCUCCUGGUGAUAGCCCAUGCUCCCCUGGCUCUUUUCAGAACCCGGACGGAUAAUCGUGCAGCAGCCAGGAGAAGACCCUGGCUCAGUCUCUUCAGAUCUCCGCUGCUGUUUGAAAUGUGUCGAAAUCCCAGCCCGCUCUCCUGGCACUUGCAGUCUGGGUUGAGUACAGACAGUCCCUGCUGACUUGAACACAGUUGCUAUGGUCUGGAUCUAAAACGGCCCACAAAGCCUCCUGUGCUUGGAAGUGAUUGGCUUUUGGGGGACACUACAGUACAGCUGACCCGCUGCUCGGAGGUGCUCUUCAUCCUGCUCCCCAAAACAUUUGACGUAAUAUCAGUUACCUUAGUCACAGUAGCUUUGUAGUACUCUGUUUGUUCUUUCGUGCACAUGUUACAGCUUGGUGCUCUCCUGGAAGCUCAAUGGAGGUUUUGUGUGAAAUUGUAGUUGAUAUUGAUAUGUGAUACUAGUUUGCGGGACAAUUUGCACUUUUAAAAUGUCAGGUUUUUCUCAUCCAUUUGUAUUACUAUAACAGUUUUCUAAUUUUUAGUCUCCGGUGCAUUAAUUGCUGCUCUGGUCUUUAUCAUUUCCUCUCUCAUACAAACUUUGGACUCAGCCUGGUAUUGUUUUUCCAGAAGUUUGAAGUUCAACAUGAAGUUGUUUUGUUUUGUACCAGGGGUCAAACUCACAGCCUUGCGUUUGCCAGGCAGGUGCUUGUGGUGCUGAGCUAAAUUCCCGGCCCCUGGAGCUGUUUAUUUGAACUUGGAGUUUUCCCAACAUGGAUAUUCACUGACUGCUACGCGUCUCCCUUGUACGACUGCGUUCAUUGUGUCCUGUGGGCUCCAGUGUGUUGAACCAUCAUUAUCAUGUACUUACAGAAACUGAUUUUUCUUUAAUUUCAUUUGUGACCCAUUGAUUGUUCAGGAGGGUGCUAUUUAAUUUCCAUGUGUUUAUGAACUUCCUGUGGUCUCUUGCCAUUGAUUUCCAAUUUCAUUGCACUAUGAUCUGAUAAUCUGUGUGGAUAAUUUCAAUUCCUCUGUAUUAAGCACAUUCUAGGAGCUGGCAUAUGGUCUAUCAAGUAGUUUUAUAAUUUUUAACAUAAAUAUUUUACACAUCUUUA